UUAAUGCAGAGACAGACAUUAAAUUUUACAAAAAAAACAUUUUUUUGUCUUUGAUAUUUUGCAUACUGGUAUUCUUUACAAUACUUUGAAGGCACUUCUUAACACAUUAACAAUGUAAGUAAAUUGAAAAAUUUGAAAGUUCAAACUCAUUGAGUACUUUGUCAAACAAACCACAAAUAUUUAACAGGAAAUUUACAAAUAUUGUUGUUGAUUAAAAAAAAAUCAUGAUAAAUUUCAGUAUGAUUAUUGCUUAUCAAGCUUUGCUUUACAUAGAUCUAUUCUUUAUUUCAGUUAAGGUUAUUUAUAUCAAAUUUAGGGAUUAAGUAAUCAUAAAAUACAGUUCAUAAUUUCACAGCUUUACUCUUCCAUAACAACAACACCAAUUACAGAAUGGAACCUUCAAUGGCAUUCAAAACAACAUAAAUGUUUGUCGCAUUUAAUACAACCAUGGAUUGUCUCUUUCCUUUUUUUUCACCAUGUUUUGUACAAAAUUUACAAGUUGAUUUUUUCUUUUCAAUCUGGUAUGUCUAUGCAAGUUCGGGUUACUCAUGUUCAUUGGAUAUACAACUAAAGCUGGGGUUUUCUUUUUAGUGUAGUAGUAACCAUUGAUUAAAUGUGAAACCAAAUUAAUGCGGAAAUCAAACUGAGUGUACCUCUUUUUUUUCUUUUCCACCUGAUUGAAAUGGUCAUACAAAACAAAUCCAUUUAUAAUACAAAUAUUGGUGAGAAAGUUAAACAAAAAUUUCCACCACUUUUUAGAGCUCCUUCCAACAGGAUAUUUUGACUGAAGUUGGUCACAAAUAUCAACACCACGAAAAUUUGCCUGGUAAUUGCUGAUAAUACGUGGUCUGGUGAUCUGUUUCAUAGUACCAUCUUUUUGUCUCCUUUCAGUAAUGUCUUUCUAAAACAAGAGGUAUACAUCAAUAAAUACAUUAUGUGAGUACAUGUUUUAU
rnacentral:lncRNA from 1 species